rnacentral:lncRNA from 1 species
CCCUUUCUACGACGUUUGCUGAUCGCCUGACUCUCGCCUGCCCCUCGCCUGCCCCUCGACACUGAUUAUGGAUUCUGAUUCGGCUUCCGUGCACGUCGAUCCGAGAACUCUGCACUUGAGUCCGUCCGCGCAACCGUGACAGAAGGUUCCGCCUGCUACCAGGACUCAGCAGAGUAUGCGCAACUGCGUACAGCGCUCACCAAGCAAGGGUGCGCCCACGACUCCUGCUGAGCCUGUCCCGCUCGCACCCCCCGAGGCUUCGGGGACGGUCACAAGGAUCGCGACCCCAGAGAGACACUGCACUGCGCUACACACUGCAGCUUCGAGGAAACGCCCAUACAGGUUGAGUAUGGGGGCUCCGUAACUCCCUUCAGGAAUGAAGUACUGACGGCAGGGGCUGACCAUACCUAGUGUUGCCUAGGUGAGCAUGAUUUCACAUCUCAUUGCUUGUAUACUAUGUUUAAGACACUUUUAAGACUUUUUAGACAUUUAAGAUUAACUUACCUUCCUGUUUAACCUUGGAUUGCCACCGUGGCAUGGGGAAUGGUAGGGCUUCAAGAGAUACUCAAGGAGGGGGAUUGUGCCUUUGAAUAAGGACAGCUAAGAAGUCAAGGACAAAUAAAAGGACAAGGAGAGGUAGAGCAGCAAGGUGGAAGUCCAGAAGAAGUCAUCGAUUCAUCAAUCUGCAAUCAACUGCUGCUACUAUGACAAGGCCAUUAGUAAAAAGGAGACUCUUCAACUGUAUCAACACAUUAAUUAUUUUGUCUUUGGUUCAGUCCACACAAGUGAGGCCUCAUAGACUGUGCUUAACUGUGGAACCGGGACACAUAGUUAAUGUGACACGGAUUUGGAAAUCUGAGAAUGGAGGUGACGACAGCCUUAUCUGGAAUAGGGCGACGAAUGGAUCCAUCCCUAAAUGCCACAGUGAAACAGACUUUAUAUGCCAAGAAAAGGACAACAUUUUGAUUUUCACUAGAGACCAAACAGAAAGACAGGUGUACUCAUGUGAAGGGAAUACAUCAAAAAAAUGUGAAAGUAAGUUUAAUUGA